rnacentral:misc_RNA from 1 species
AUUAAUACCUUAAAGAUAGUAAUUUAUAACGCCUUAGCAUUUACUAGGGCUAACACAGCUCUCACACAAUCCCACAAUUUGAAACAGGAUUUAUUGAUUGAGAAUCGCCAACAUUUACCAAUCUUUUUUCAACUACGGUAUAAUUCGUAUGGGAGUACAGGCAUAUCUUCAUCCAUAAAUAAAUAAUUUGCCAGGAAUAAAACUGUAAAUUUAAAGCCUGCGUUCUCCAUAAACUACGCAAAAUUUGAUAAACAAGCACAUAAACUUUUAUGGGAAAAAACAAUACACAUUUAAGGUAUUGGACACGUUCUAAAAGGAAAAGAGGAUGCUGAAAGAGAGUACUGCUGCAAGAUAAAACUAGAUAUGCAAUCUGAUUAGUGAUCACCAGGGAGGCUCUUCAUGAUAUCAGAAUCACCUGGGUCA